CGUUGAAACAACGGUUCUCGUACGAUCCCCGAAGUUAAGCAACGUUCAGCCGAGUCAGUACCUAGCUGGGUGAGCAUUUAGGAAUACCAGGGGCUGUAAG